rnacentral:siRNA from 1 species
CUAUAAAGUCAUGCAUUUCGGCC